GACAGAGGCCUCAAGCGUUAGGCGGAAUCACUGGGCUUAAAGCGUGUGUAGGCGGCGCGGUAAGUCACUUGUGAAAUCUCUGAGCUUAACUCAGAACGGCCAAGUGAUACUGCAGUGCUAGAGUGCAGAAGGGGCAAUCGGAAUUCUUGGUGUAGCGGUGAAAUGCGUAGAUAUCAAGAGGAACACCUGAGGUGAAGACGGGUUGCUGGGCUGACACUGACGCUGAGGCGCGAAAGCCAGGGGAGCAAACGGG
rnacentral:rRNA from 1 species